ACGCUCGACACCUACGGGGGCAGCAGUUGGGAAUAUUGGACAAUGGAGGAAACUCUGAUCCAGUGACGCCGCGUGAAGGAAGAAGGUCUUCGGAUUGUAAACUUAUUUUGUCAGGGAAGAAAAAAUGACUGUACCUGAAGAAAAAGCACCGGCUAACUACGUGGCAGCAGCCGCGGUAAUCUGAGCGGGCUGGCAAGGC
rnacentral:rRNA from 1 species